UUUAGUGGCGAACGGGUGCGUAAUACGUGAGAAUCUGCCCUUAGGAGGAGAAUAACUUCUGGAAACGGUUGCUAAGUCUCCAUAUGCCGAGAGGUGAAAUAGUUUAUACUGCCUAGGGAUGAGCUCACGCCUGUUUAGCUUGUUGGUAAGGUAAUGGCUUACCAAGGCCGCGAUCAGUAGCUGGUUUGAGAGAACGAUCAGCCACACUGGGACUGAGACACGGCCCAGACUCCUCCGGGAGGCAGCAGUGAGGAAUUUUCCGCAAUGGGCGAAAGCCUGACGGAGCAAUACCGCGUGAGGGAUGAAGGAUUUUGGUCUGUAAACCUCUUUUCUCAAGAAAGAAGUUCUGACGGUACUUGAGGAAUAAGCAUCGGCUAACUCCGUGCCAGCAGCCGCGGUAAUACGGGGGAUGCAAGCGUUAUCCGGAAUCAUUGGGCGUAAAGCGCCUGUAGGUUGUUUAAUAAGUCUGUUGUUAAAGACUAGGGCUUAACCCUA
rnacentral:rRNA from 1 species